rnacentral:rRNA from 1 species
GCUGAAGCAACAAAUGCCCUGCUUCCAGGAAAAGCCUCUAAGCAUCAGGUAACAUCAAAUCGUACCCCAAACCGACACAGGUGGUCAGGUAGAGAAUACCAAGGCGCUUGAGAGAACUCGGGUGAAGGAACUAGGCAAAAUGGUGCCGUAACUUCGGGAGAAGGCACGCUGACACGUAGGUGAAGUGAUUUACUCAUGGAGCUGAAGUCAGUCGAAGAUACCAGCUGGCUGCAACUGUUUAUUAAAAACACAGCACUGUGCAAACACGAAAGUGGACGUAUACGGUGUGACGCCUGCCCGGUGCCGGAAGGUUAAUUGAUGGGGUCAGCGCAAGCGAAGCUCCUGAUCGAAGCCCCGGUAAACGGCGGCCGUAACUAUAACGGUCCUAAGGUAGCGAAAUUCCUUGUCGGGUAAGUUCCGACCUGCACGAAUGGCGUAAUGAUGGCCAGGCUGUCUCCACCCGAGACUCAGUGAAAUUGAACUCGCUGUGAAGAUGCAGUGUACCCGCGGCAAGACGGAAAGACCCCGUGAACCUUUACUAUAGCUUGACACUGAACAUUGAGCCUUGAUGUGUAGGAUAGGUGGGAGGCUUUGAAGUGUGGACGCCAGUCUGCAUGGAGCCGACCUUGAAAUACCACCCUUUAAUGUUUGAUGUUCUAACGUGGACCCGUGAUCCGGGUUGCGGACAGUGUCUGGUGGGUAGUUUGACUGGGGCGGUCUCCUCCUAAAGAGUAACGGAGGAGCACGAAGGUUGGCUAAUCCUGGUCGGACAUCAGGAGGUUAGUGCAAUGGCAUAAGCCAGCUUGACUGCGAGCGUGACGGCGCGAGCAGGUGCGAAAGCAGGUCAUAGUGAUCCGGUGGUUCUGAAUGGAAGGGCCAUCGCUCAACGGAUAAAAGGUACUCCGGGGAUAACAGGCUGAUACCGCCCAAGAGUUCAUAUCGACGGCGGUGUUUGGCACCUCGAUGUCGGCUCAUCACAUCCUGGGGCUGAAGUAGGUCCCAAGGGUAUGGCUGUUCGCCAUUUAAAGUGGUACGCGAGCUGGGUUUAGAACGUCGUGAGACAGUUCGGUCCCUAUCUGCCGUGGGCGCUGGAGAACUGAGGGGGGCUGCUCCUAGUACGAGAGGACCGGAGUGGACGCAUCACUGGUGUUCGGGUUGUCAUGCCAAUGGCACUGCCCGGUAGCUAAAUGCGGAAGAGAUAAGUGCUGAAAGCAUCUAAGCACGAAACUUGCCCCGAGAUGAGUUCUCCCUGAGACUUUAGGUCUCCUGAAGGAACGUUGAAGACGACGACGUUGAUAGGCCGGGUGUGUAAGCGCAGCGAUGCGUUGAGCUAACCGGUACUAAUGAACCGUGAGGCUUAACCUU